GAUGAACGCUAGCGGGAGGCCUAACACAUGCAAGUCGAACGGGAUUGGUAGCAAUACCAUGAGAGUGGCGCACGGGUGAGUAACGCGUAUGCAACCUGCCUUUAACUGAGGGAUAGCCCAUAGAAAUGUGGAUUAAUACCUCAUAGUUCUGAGAAGCUGCAUGGUUUUUCAGAUAAAGCUCCGGCGGUUAAAGAUGGGCAUGCGUGACAUUAGCUAGUUGGUAAGGUAACGGCUUACCAAGGCUACGAUGUCUAGGGGUUCUGAGAGGAUGAUCCCCCACACUGGUACUGAGACACGGACCAGACUCCUACGGGAGGCAGCAGUGAGGAGUAUUGGUCAAUGGGCGCAAGCCUGAACCAGCCAUCCCGCGUGCAGGAUGACGGCCCUAUGGGUUGUAAACUGCUUUUGUACAGGAAGAAAAAUCCCUACGUGUAGGGACCUGCCGGUACUGUACGAAUAAGCAUCGGCUAACUCCGUGCCAGCAGCCG
rnacentral:rRNA from 1 species